GACGAACGCUGGCGGCGUGCUUAACACAUGCAAGUCGAACGGAAAGGCCCUGCUUUUGUGGGGUGCUCGAGUGGCGAACGGGUAACUAACACGUGAGUAACCUGCCCUUGACUGUGGGAUAACUUCAUAAAACUGGGGCUAAUACCGGCUAGGAGCUCCUGCUUCUUGGUGGGGGUUGGAAGGUUUCGGCGGUUGGUGAUGGACUGGCGUCUCAUCAGCUUGUUGGUGGGGUAGUGGAUUACCAAGGCUUUGACCCGUAGCCGGCCUGAGAGGGUGACCGGCCACAUUGGGCCUGAGCUACGGCACAGACUCCUCCGGGACGCAGGACUGCGGAAGAUUGCACUAUGGGCGGAACGCUGGCGUGACCACGCCGCGUGCGGGAUGAGAUCAUGCGGUUUGUAUUCCGCAUUCGCCUGUCACGAAGCGUGAGUGACGGUAAUGGGUAAAGAAGCACCGGCUAACUACGUG
rnacentral:rRNA from 1 species